rnacentral:tRNA from 1 species
AGAGAUUUAGGUUAACCCAGACCAAGAGCCUUCAAAGCCCUCAGCGAGAGUGAAAAUCUCUCAAUCCCUG